CCAAACCGCCCACAAAACCACCCACCGUUAAACCACCUCCAUCCACCCCUAAGCCGCCCACCAAACCACCCACCGUCAAACCACCACCCUCCACCCCAAAACCGCCCACCAAGCCACCCACCGUCAAACCACCUCCGUCCACCCCUAAACCACCUACCCACAAGCCACCAACAGUGUGCCCACCGCCAACACCAACACCAACCCCACCUGUUGUAACGCCACCAACACCACCAACACCAACUCCACCAGUCGUUACGCCACCAACACCAGCCCCACCUGUUGUAACGCCACCAACACCAACACCACCGGUCGUAACGCCACCGACACCAACCCCUCCUGUCGUAACACCUCCAACACCACCGGUCGUAACGCCACCGACACCAACUCCUCCUGUCGUAACACCACCAACACCACCGGUCGUAACGCCACCGACACCAACCCCUCCUGUCGUAACACCUCCAACACCACCGGUCGUAACGCCACCGACACCAACCCCUCCUGUCGUAACACCACCAACACCAACUCCACCUAAGCCAGAAACGUGCCCAAUCGACACGUUGAAGCUAGGCGCUUGUGUAGACGUUCUUGGAGGUUUAAUUCACAUCGGGCUUGGUGGAAGUAGCGCCAAGAAAGAGUGUUGUCCGGUUUUGGGAGGCUUAGUUGA
rnacentral:lncRNA from 1 species